rnacentral:rRNA from 1 species
GAUGAACGCUAGCGGCAGGCCUAAUACAUGCAAGUCGAACGGUGUCUUCGGACAUAGUGGCGCACGGGUGCGUAACACGUAUGCAACCUACCUUACAUUGGGGGAUAGCCUUUCGGAAGGGAGAUUGAUACCGCAUAAGACAGUAGCUGGGCAUCCAGCAGCUGUUAAAGAUUUAUCGAUGUAAGCUGGGCAUGCGUCCAAUUAGCUAGUUGGUGAGGUAACGGCUCACCAAGGCAAUGAUUGGUAGGGGAACUGAGAGGUCAAUCCCCCACACUGGCACUGAGAUACGGGCCAGACUCCUACGGGAGGCAGCAGUAGGGAAUAUUGGGCAAUGGACGCAAGUCUGACCCAGCCAUGCCGCGUGCAGGAUGAAGGCGUUAUGCGUUGUAAACUGCUUUUAUACAGGAAGAAACGACUCUUGCGAGAGGCAUUGACGGUACUGUAUGAAUAAGCACCGGCUAACUCCGUGCCAGCCGCCGCGGUAAAAC